UUUUGACUUUACCAUUACUACCUUUUCACCACAGGCAAAAUUUGUGGCAAAACUUAUCUUGACACAGGCUUAUAGAUUCAUGUGUCUUUGAUAUUUUUUUUUCCAUAUGUAUUUGAUUUUUGUGUAUCAUUUUGCACCUCUGUAAUCACAAAUUUUAGUGAAAGAUUAAGUGGGGAUGAGGGAAAAGUCUGCUAAUUUGAGGAGUGGCCUAUGAUGAGGUCUUCAAAUACAACACCUUUAAACAUGAUAAAUGCUUCUCCAGAUUUCAUUCCUAGAUUAGUCAUGUGACAAAUUUACCGUUUUUUAAGUAUUGUCUUUGGAAAAAGACACUUCAAAUCACACACAAUCAAGUGUAAAAUUACUGUGUCAAUUAAGGGAAAAAUGCAGCUUUUGUGGAAUAGGAGGAAGGGAGAGAGGAGUACAUGUUGACAGAGUACUUCCUUCCCCCCACCAUUUGCUGUCUUCCAAGGUUUCUUCACCCUCUUUCCCGCUUGCAUUGAAGUGGCACAGGAAGCAGAUAGAAUUUCAUAAUCAUUUUUUAAUGUAUCAUAUCAGAAUCUCUUCAUCUUUACUGUGAGCUUUUGGAAAAGCACCUGUCUUGGAUGCUGCAUUUUAAUUACCUCUUCAAUAAGCAAGAUGAAGGUGUCAUCUUCAGUACUAAGAAGGAAUCUUCAGACACACAUAUCCCUUAUUUAGGGUGGUAGAAUGGCAGUGAAAAUGCAAGAAGUCCCCUUUCAAACUCUUGUGCAAGCCAGCAGCAACCACCAACUCCUCAAAAACCUUAAAAAGUCUGAAUUCUGUUCCAGCAGGAUGUGAUAUGUUGGUGUGGACUUUACUCUCCAGGGCAGUAAUUUUGAAACUAUUUUGAACUGAUUGGUGCUUUAAAUAAUUUCAAGCUUCACGUUUAUGGUGAAGUUUAAUGAUUCCUAAGGCUUUGAUACGUGUGCACUUACGUGUGCAGCUACCCAGGCUGUAUUUUAAGGCCUCUUAGCACACAAGUGGCUUGUAAUCGGAGCUUUUAAUACUGAUCUCUGUGUAACUGUAAGUAGAAUUUUCAUUUCCACUUAACGUAGGAGAACAAAAGAAACCUGAUGGGAAGAGAACUGACACUUGAGAAUGAUGGUUCAUUUUCUAUGGUUCAUUCUAAGUGCAACCGAAUAUUCAUUUCAAAAACAUUGCCGCUUCAGCUUAGGAAAUACUGAAGCUGUUUGUGCACCACAACUGAAUGCAGAUGGUGAUGGGCAGAAGUAAGAGCCUGCAAGGAGUUUCUUGGGUCAUUGCCUGUUAAAAGGAGGAAUGGGACUUAGGUACAUUAUAUAAUCUCUUUGCAAAGUGGUCAAGCUGUUUUCCAGAACAGUUUUAUCUUUCAUCCUUUUUGAGUCAGUCUGAUGUGUUUUGGCAUUGCUUGCGAAUAGUUUGCAAUUUACACAUCAUCUCUACUUCUAUUUAUAUUUUGUGUACUGAUAACCAGGUCAUUCUGAAUUAGUAGAUCAGAGAUUCUGCCUCUCUUUCUCAGUCCCUUUUAUUUCUCAUCCUGCCUUUCUCUUAACCUUUAUCUCUGUUCUGGGUUUACCGAUUAUAUUAUUGCACUAAAGAAUAUAGGAAUGCAUGGUAGUUCAUGUAGAAACAAAUGUGUACUGCUGUAUGCAGAUCCAUUUUAAAUGGAUGCAAACUCACAAAGUAGCAUGCAGAAAUAAUUAGGCUUUACCUAAGUGUAGGGUCAAUUAAUUUAGUUUUUCUAGCUUUUCCAGCUGAUACUCAGCAUGUCUGGCUUUAAUAGUGAGCAGUUUUGGCCAGAACCAGAAUGAUGUUUACCCUGUCUCCUUUGUUCAGUCUGUUUACUCUGGACUUGUGCAGUAAUUCUGGAGUGCACACAUUCACUCUAAAGGAGAUUUACAGUAAAUUUUCUAUGCUGAGGCUUGGCUUAUCUGCCUUUCUGCACUUCAGGUGCCCAUACAAUUUCCAUCUUUUGCCCUUAUUCUUUCAAGUUAAUUUCACAUGUCAUUGUUUAGAGGCAUUAGGACAUGUCCAGUGCAUCCCCAUUUUCCUUUGCUCACACAUUCACUUUCAAUUGACCAAUUGGCUGUGGAGUAUCUGCCAGCAAAUUUGGGGAGUCCUUUUCAGGGUAGGUUCACAAGCAUGCAGUGAAGAGGUGGUUUACUCUUGGACUGCUUCAGAUGCUUUCUGUGGUAGUCAUUUGUAUGUAAUUGGAACUGUGAAAUGUGAGUUAUACUGUGCAACUUGAACUAUGCUUUCAGGGUUUCUAUGCUUUCAGGUUUUGAAAUCUUCAGUCUCUCUAUUGAAAUUAUGUUGAAAUUAGAGGUUAAUAUAUGUGAAGUUGACCACAUGUUAGAACUUUGAAACAUCAUAUGCUUAAUGAUUUAUUUUUAAUCUACUUUCCACAAGAUGAAGUGCAAAUUAUCCUUUAGUUAGAGAGAAUUGUCCUAUUUCUAAAGACUUAAGAGUGAUUUUGUCCAUUCAGGUUGAUGCACAUUCAAAGGUGAAUAUGUUGAGUUCUCUGAGAUUCACUGAAGUGAUCUGAUAAAAAGGUUUUACAGAAAAAGAGGCAGGGCAAAGGGACAGGCAGUUCUGUGCCAGUUUCUUAAAUGAAAAAACAUAUUAGCAAUUUAGCAAAAACUGCUCCUAAAGGCAGCCGACUUCUGUGUCAGUGUGAUAAAGAAGCUAAAAAGAAGGAAAAUUGUAAUUGUUGUAUCAAAACUCUGCUGCUGCUGCUUACUCAUCUGUUAAAAGCAGUCAGUAUCAGGAAGGGUUUUGAUGGUACCCUGCUGCUAUGUCAGUGUAACACAUGCUUCAGGCGCUUGCAUCCGCACUGCAUUCCAGGUCAUUGAUCAGACUCGGCGGGCAAAAUACUGGGAGCUACAUGACAAAUCUUUGACUCACAGCUGGGCCCACUACUACGUAUCAUAGUAAAUGAGUCAGUUAAACAUCACUAGUUUAGCAAGCGUGAAGGGGG